rnacentral:rRNA from 1 species
CUACGGGCGGCUGCAGUGAGGAAUAUUGCGCAAUGGACGAAAGUCUGACGCAGCCAUGCCGCGUGCAGGAUGACGGCGCUAUGCGUUGUAAACUGCUUUUAUAUGCCAAGAAACCUUCGGACGUGUCCGAAGCUGACGGUAGCAUAUGAAUAAGCACCGGCUAACUCCGUGCCAGCAGCCGCGGUAAUACGGAGGGUGCAAGAGUUAUCCGGAUUUAUUGGGUUUAAAGGGUCCGUAGGAGGAUCAUUAAGUCAGUGGUGAAUGCCGGCAGCUCAACUGUCGAACGGCCAUUGAUACUGGUGAUCUUUAAUACGUUUUAAGUUGGCGGAAUAGGUCAUGUAGCGGUGAAAUGCUUAGUUAUGACCUAGAACACCGAUUGCGAAGGCAGCCAACUAAGCCGUUAUUGACGCUGAGGGACGAAAGCGUGGGGAGCGAACAGGAUUAGAUACCCUUGUAGUC